UACGUAGGGCGCAAGCGUUGUCCGGAAUUAUUGGGCGUAAAGAGCUCGUAGGCGGUCUGUUACGUCUGCUGUGAAAACACAGGGCUUAACCCUGGGCUUGCAGUGGAUACGGGCAGACUAGAGGCAGGUAGGGGAGAAUGGAAUUCCCGGUGUAGCGGUGAAAUGCGCAGAUAUCGGGAGGAACACCGGUGGCGAAGGCGGUUCUCUGGGCCUGACCUGACGCUGAGGAGCGAAAGCGUGGGGAGCGAACAGG
rnacentral:rRNA from 1 species